UGGGGAAUUUUGGACAAUGGGCGAAAGCCUGAUCCAGCAAUGCCGCGUGUGUGAAGAAGGCCUUCGGGUUGUAAAGCACUUUUGUCCGGAAAGAAAUCCUUGGCUCUAAUAUAGUCGGGGGAUGACGGUACCGGAAGAAUAAGCACCGGCUAACUACGUGCCAGCAGCCGCGGUAAUACGUAGGGUGCAAGCGUUAAUCGGAAUUACUGGGCGUAAAGCGUGCGCAGGCGGUUUGCUAAGACCGAUGUGAAAUCCCCGGGCUCAACCUGGGAACUGCAUUGGUGACUGGCAGGCUAGAGUAUGGCAGAGGGGGGUAGAAUUCCACGUGUAGCAGUGAAAUGCGUAGAGAUGUGGAGGAAUACCGAUGGCGAAGGCAGCCCCCCUGGGCCAAUACUGACGCUCAUGCACGAAAAGCGUGGGGGAGCAAAACAGGAUUAGAUACCCCUGGUAGUCCACGCCCCUAAAACGAUGUCAACUAGUUGUUGGGGGAUUCAUUUUCCUUAGUAACGUAGCUAAACGCGUGAAAGUUGACCGCCUGGGGAGUACGGUCGCAAAGAUUAAAAACUUAAAGGAAAUUGACGGGGUCAUAGCUGUUUCCU
rnacentral:rRNA from 1 species